CAGCCGCCACGGUAAUACGGAGGGCGCGAGCGUUACCCGGAUUUACUGGGCGUAAAGGGCGUGUAGGCGGCCUGGGGCGUCCCAUGUGAAAGGCCACGGCUCAACCGUGGAGGAGCGUGGGAUACGCUCAGGCUAGAGGGUGGGAGAGGGUGGUGGAAUUCCCGGAGUAGCGGUGAAAUGCGCAGAUACCGGGAGGAACGCCGAUGGCGAAGGCAGCCACCUGGUCCACUUCUGACGCUGAGGCACGAAAGCGUGGGGAGCAAACAGGAUUAGAUACCCGCGUAGUCCCUGUCUCUUAUAC
rnacentral:rRNA from 1 species